rnacentral:tRNA from 1 species
AGUCUUUUGUUUUGGAAACACAUGAUUUUGAAAGUCAUAAAAAGAGGUUCGACUCCUUUAGAGACUU